rnacentral:rRNA from 1 species
AUACGGAAGGUCCGGGCGUUAUUCGGAUUUAUUGGGUUUAAAGGGAGCGCAGGCGGAGAUGCAAGCGUGACGUCAAAUUUCGGGGCUCAACCCCGUCUCGCGUCGCGAACUGCGUCCCUUGGUUGCGGGAAGGGGAGGCGGAACUCGUGGUGUAGCGGGGAAAUGCAUAGAUAUCACGAAGAACUCCGAUCGCGAAGGCAGCCUUCCGGCCCGUCAACGACGCUCAUGCUCGAAGGUGCGGGUAUCAAACAGGAUUAGAUACCCUGGUAGUCCGCACAGUAAACGAUGGACACCCGCGGUUUGGCCUGUAUGGCUGAGCCGCCAAGCGAAAGCGUUAAGUGUCCCACCUGGGGAGUACGCCGGCAACGGUGAAACUCAAAGGAAUUGACGAGG